GUUGACGUUUCCGUGCGUGUCGCGUCCGCACCGCGGGCCUGGGGACCUGACUUCCGACCCCACAGUCAGUGGCCGUGGUGGCAGCUGGACCGCAGCGAGGACGGGAAGGUUCCCACCGCUCACGCCACCAGCCUUCACUGCACAUGGGCAAGGCCUUGAAUGCCAACACUCGAAGGAGUUUCCCUGGUGAAUGUCAGCCAGGAAAGGAUUUUGAAUUGGGGUGAUAUAAUGCAAACUUUGCUUUUGGAUGAGAAUCAGGCCCAUACGGAGGACAUGCUGAGGAGAGGAAAUGAACAGACACCAGGAGACCUGCCUGUGCAUUCAGGACUUUAUUCAGUACUCACUGUGGUGGACCUGAGGAGGUAUAGGGCUGCAGAGAUGAGGACAUGAACUCCGCGUCUGCAGUGACACUCAACUUUUCAGAUGUAUCUCCCACCUUCCUUCUGUGCUCCUACCAGAAAGGAAGACUGCACACAGUAUGGCUGAAGGCUCCUGACUCCUUAUCUGGGACCCGCCCCCCCCCUUAUGCCCCAAACUCUCGUCAAACACACAGAUACUCUCUCUCAUUUACACACUUUUUAAAAAAAUUUUACCCAAAUUUGUUGUCUAGUU